UACGUAGGGUGCAAGCGUUGUCCGGAAUUAUUGGGCGUAAAGAGCUCGUAGGCGGUUUGUCGCGUCGGCUGUGAAAACCUGGGGCUCAACCCCGGGCCUGCAGCCGAUACGGGCAAACUAGAAUUCGGUAGGGGAGACUGGAAUUCCCGGUGUAGCGGUGAAAUGCGCAGAUAUCAGGAGGAACACCGGUGGCGAAGGCGGGUCUCUAGGCCGAUACUGACGCUGAGGAGCGAAAGCGUGGGGGAGCGAACAGG
rnacentral:rRNA from 1 species